ACAACUCUUAUCGAUAAGCCAUUGGAGGGCAAGUCUGGUGCCAGCAGCCGCGGUAAUUCCAGCUCCAAUAGCGUAUAUUAACGUUGUUGCAGUUAAAAAGCUCGUAGUUGAAGUGAGGGAGUGUGUAGUAGGACCGACUUGAUCGGAACUGCUGCAACCUCCCCCCUCCAAUCGGUGUAGUGGGGUAUUCAGUUAUUUCACUACUCCUUUGGUCGUUUACUGUGAGAAAAUUAGAGUGUUCAAAGCGGGCGUUUGUUUGAAUAGAUUAGCAUGGAAUAAUGAUUGAAGGCUUUCGUGUUCGAUUUGAUUGGUUUGUUCAUGGAAGCAAGGUUAAAAGGAACAGUUGGGGGUAUUCAUAUUCACUAGUUAGAGGUGAAAUUCUCGGAUUUAUGGAAGAUGAACAAG
rnacentral:rRNA from 1 species